UACGUAGGGGGCGAGCGUUGUCCGGAUUUAUUGGGCGUAAAGAGCGUGUAGGCGGCUUGGUAGGUCUGCUGUGAAAACUCGAGGCUCAACCUCGAGACGCCGGUUGAAACCAUCUGGCUAGAGUCCGGAAGAGGAGAGUGGAAUUCCUGGUGUAGCGGUGAAAUGCGCAGAUAUCAGGAAGAACACCCGUGGCUAAGGCGGCUCUCUAGUACGGUACUGACGCUGAGACGCGAAAGCGUGGGGAGCGAACAGG
rnacentral:rRNA from 1 species